GAGGAGUGGUUUCAAAUAAUGCGGAGCAUUAUUUCUUUCAAUGAACCCGACGAGUUGCCGCCGAAGCUUCAGCUGAGGGGGCGGUACCUUGG
rnacentral:sRNA from 12 species